rnacentral:rRNA from 1 species
GACAGAGGGUGCGAACGUUGCUCGGAAUUACUGGGCGUAAAGCGCGUGUAGGCGGCAACGCAAGUCGGGCGUGAAAUCCCACGGCUCGACCGUGGAAGUGCACUCGAAACUGCGUAGCUAGAGUCCUGGAGAGGAAGGUGGAAUGCUUGGUGUAGAGGUGAAAUUCGUAGAUAUCAAGCGGAACACCGGUGGCGAAGGCGACCUUCUGGACAGUGACUGACGCUGAGACGCGAAAGCGUGGGGAGCAAACAGG